rnacentral:lncRNA from 1 species
GUAUAAGUCAUGAAGUAUGAAGUGGCAAAAAGGGAGAGUCAUAGGCAAUAUCCCAACAAUGAUCAGUUACCAGCCAGUGAAUUUCCUGGAAGCUAUCUCCACAAUCACUCGGACAAUUGUUCUGGCAAUAUGAUAAAUGGAAAACCAUUGUCCCUGGGCUUAUGUACUACCACUGGACAAGAAGACAUGACAGGUAACACUAGAUGAUUUCUCAUCCUGCCCACACACAAAAAAAAUGUUUAAGUUGCUUUUCUAAUGAAUCUCCUAUGAUUCAGAAAUAUGCAAAGCAAUAUUGUACAAAGACAUAUUGUGAAGUAAGGCAUCAUUGUUCCAACAGUUCCUUUAUUCUAAUGGCACAUGAAUUUGAUGUUUGAGAUGAUAAGGAUAGAAGGAGGGAGGGAGGGUGAGAAAAGCUGACCCUAAUCAAGUGUAUUCAGAGUGUGGUUACGGAAAAGGGAAUUAAUGUAAUGCCAGGCUCUCAAACAGGAAAACCUCAGGAGUAUGCUUGAAGAAAGUAGUAUAUCAGAUUUUGGCCCACCACUUGUGAAGAUAAGGAAAAAAUACAUCUGUUUUUU